AUCUCCCCCAAAGUAUCCGAAGCCCAUUAUCAAACAGUUAUCUCAUAAUCUUACAUGGUUAGGUUGUACAGUCAGACACUAGCAGAACUUUGCAGUAUUUCACAUGAAUACAUUUGCUAUGUUCUGUAUGCCAUGAGGGUAAGGAGUAUUUUAUCCCUCUGUAUCCCAGCAGAGGACUGGAAAGUAUUUUGAACACUUUUUUUCUUCCAUAUUACUUUCUGAGCCUUCUAUUGAAUUGGCCAUCUUAACUUAUUACCUACAAUGAAUAUAACAUAGAUAUAUUUCUAUUUUUAAUUAUCAAUAAUGCAUCUAUAAUAUUUUUUCCAAUAAAAACUGAAAGCAAUGAUGCAAAGAACUUAAUAAUUAGAUGUAGACAUUUAUUUUGUUCUGAUUUCUGGUAUGAUCAAGUUUUUUUUUUUUUUAGCAGUAUAAGAACUGUAAUUUGUGUUGGAAAGCUGAUAAUGAAAUAACUGCUAGUUCACGAACAGCAGAGCUUUCUAUUUGGU
rnacentral:lncRNA from 1 species